UACGUAGGGUGCAAGCGUUAAUCGGAAUUACUGGGCGUAAAGCGUGCGCCGGCGGUUUUGCAAGACAGAUGUGAAAUCCCCGGGCUUAACCUGGGAACUGCAUUUGUGACUGCAAGGCUAGAGUGUGUCAGAGGGAGGUGGAAUUCCGCGUGUAGCAGUGAAAUGCGUAGAGAUGCGGAGGAACACCGAUGGCGAAGGCAGCCUCCUGGGAUAACACUGACGCUCAUGCACGAAAGCGUGGGGAGCAAACAGG
rnacentral:rRNA from 1 species